rnacentral:lncRNA from 1 species
GCCGAUGGAUCUUGUGAUGAAUUUGUUGCUGAGAACUUAGAGGGAGCUGGAAGGCCUGAUUCCGAUUUUAGGGCACCUGUUUGGGUCUUUCCGAGCAUGUGUUGAUGCUCUCCUAUGGAUCACAGAGCUAUGUGAAAGUUAGUACAAAGGUACAAUUGCUCUCUAGUGACUUGUAUUUCUUAUUUGGUUUUGAUAUGUUAUUCUUGUGUAUAAAGAAGUUUAUGUGUCUAUCUCUUUAGCAACAUGUGUUACAUAUUGGGCAUAUCAUUUGAAGCUGCUAAGCUGAUCCCUGAAAAUGUUGACACUAAUAAUUUGCAUGUCUUAGGAAUCAGUACUAGCUAGAUCAUCUUUUGUUUCUUUCUCUGCAGAGUUGCUCAGCAACUUGUAAGUAAGUGUACAUGUAUGCCCGCACCAGCUCGCAAGUUAGUGUAUUCAAAUUACUGAAUCAACUCGUAAUUCAGUGUGCAAUCACUCGCAUCGUCAGUUUCGUUGCCGUUCUCUUUUCAAUUAUGGUAUGAGAAUUGAAUGUUUCAUCCUCAAUUAAUAUGGCAUCUUAUAGAAAGUCGUUUGUCUAUGAUGCCAGUGACCCAGAAGCACAAGACGAUGGUACGUACCACCAGGAGGGGAGCAUCUCCAACUCGGAUGAGUGGUUAUCAGGGUAAUCGUUCACGCUGAAACCUACUCUCCAAUAAAAGACAUAUAUAUUCUACUGUACAUAUACAAAGCAUUUUAUCCGCAUCUAUUUCAGCAUGAGCAGAGUACCGUGGCCUCUGAACAUGGGUAUGUAAUGUACGCAGCUUUGCGAAUCUUUUCGACAAGCAUAAUACUGUUUCCCGGAUGAUUUGUAGUACCAGUAUUUCAUAUCAUUCCAGCUUAGAGAAAUAAUGUUGGUUUACCGAGGCCAUAUUGGGCAUAUCAUGUGCAAAACCUUAGGUGUCAAUCUUUCAGGCUCACAGAGUUUCCCUUCUUAGUAUGUGAGAGAUGCUUC